GGUGGUUAUAGCUCAGUUGGUUAGAGCGUCGGAUUGUGGUUCCGAAGGUCGCGGGUUCGAACCCCGUUUUCCACCC
rnacentral:tRNA from 1 species